UACGGGGGGAGCAAGCGUUGUUCGGAUUUACUGGGCGUAAAGGGCGCGUAGGCGGCGUAACAAGUCACUUGUGAAAUCUCCGGGCUUAACUCGGAGCGGUCAAGUGAUACUGUUGUGCUAGAGUGCGGAAGGGGCUACUGGAAUUCUCGGUGUAGCGGUGAAAUGCGUAGAUAUCGAGAGGAACACCUGCGGCGAAGGCGGGUUGCUGGGCUGACACUGACGCUGAUGCGCGAAAGCGUGGGGAGCGAACAGG
rnacentral:rRNA from 1 species